rnacentral:rRNA from 1 species
GAUGAACGCUAGCUACAGGCUUAACACAUGCAAGUCGAGGGACCGGCGCACGGGUGAGUAACACGUAUCCAACCUGCCCUUUACUCGGGGAUAGCCUUUCGAAAGAAAGAUUAAUACCCGAUAUAAAGGAUGGGGAUGCGUUCCAUUAGGUUGUUGGUGAGGUAACGGCUCACCAAGCCUUCGAUGGAUAGGGGUUCGGAGAGGAAGGCACACCACAUUGGAACUUAGACACAGGCCAAACCCCUACUCGAGGCAGGAGUGAGGAAUAUGGGUCAAUGGGCGCUAGCCUGAACAAGCCACGUAGGGUGAAGGAUGAAGGAUUAUGGGUCGUAAACUUCUUUUAUAUAAGAAUAUGUAUUAUAUGAAUAAGGAUCGGCUAACUCCGUGCCAGCAGCCGCGGUAAUAC